UACGUAGGGUGCAAGCGUUGUCCGGAAUUAUCGGGCGUAAAGAGCGUGUAGGCGGCCCGACCAGUCCGCUGUGAAAGUCCAGGGCUCAACCCUGGAAUGCCGGUGGAUACUGUCGGGCUAGAGUCCGGAAUGGGCGAGUGGAAUUCCUGGUGUAGCGGUGAAAUGCGCAGAUAUCAGGAGGAACACCAAUGGCGAAGGCAGCUCGCUGGGACGUGACUGACGCUGAGACGCGAAAGCGUGGGGAGCAAACAGG
rnacentral:rRNA from 1 species